rnacentral:snoRNA from 1 species
GAGCACUUGAUACUAACCAAGCCAUCCGUAUCAGAGGCCUUGUGCAGAGGUCUGUGGUACACCAUGUGAUUGCUGGGUCUGAAAAGUGCUACAUUAAUACAAGCCAUGAAGUGUUUAAGCUCAGUGUGUAAAGGAAGACACUGGGUUAUAACUCAGAGGCACAGAA